AUUCCUUAUUUUUGGUAGGUAAAAGGAGAGCCCAAUACCUCUUACAUCUGUGCUUAUAUUUCGAUCGACGGAGUACACUACAGCUAUUGACUUCUGGUUUGCUGGUUGUGUUGUUGCUGAACUACUUCUUGGACAAGAAUUCUGAUUGAAGCCUAAUGGAUAAACCGACUGAUCCUCCAAAGCGCCCGAUCACUCCAUUCAUUUUCUUUUGCCAAGAACAAUCAAUGGAGUUAAAAAAAACCAAAUGAAA